rnacentral:rRNA from 1 species
GUAGGUGGCAAGCGUUGUCCGGAAUUAUUGGGCGUAAAGCGCGCGCAGGCGGGUUCUUUAAGUCUGAUGUGAAAGCCCACGGGCUCAACCGUGGAGGGUCAUUGGAAACUGGAGAACUUGAGUACAGGAGAGGAAAGCGGAAUUCCACGUGUAGCGGUGAAAUGCGUAGAGAUGUGGAGGAACACCAGUGGCGAAGGCGGCUUUCUGGUCCGUAACUGACGCUGAGGCGCGAAAGCGUGGGGAGCAAACAGGAUUAGAUACCCUGGUAGUCCACGCCGUAAACGAUGAGUGCUAAGUGUUAGGGGGUUUCCGCCCCUUAGUGCUGCAGCUAACGCAUUAAGCACUCCGCCUGGGGAGUACGGCCGCAAGGCUG